rnacentral:rRNA from 1 species
UAGGGAAUUUUCCACAAUGGGCGAAAGCCUGAUGGAGCAACGCCGCGUGCAGGAUGAAGGCCUUCGGGUUGUAAACUGCUUUUAUCUGUGACGACUUCGACGGUAGCAGAUGAAUAAGGAUCGGCUAACUCCGUGCCAGCAGCCGCGGUCAUACGGAGGAUCCAAGCGUUAUCCGGAAUUACUGGGCGUAAAGAGUUGCGUAGGUGGCAUUGUAAGCAAGUAGUGAAAGCCUGGGGCUCAACCCCUUACACAUUAUUUGAACUGCAAAGCUAGAGGACGAGAGAGGUACCUGGAAUUCCUAGUGUAGGAGUGAAAUCCGUAGAUAUUAGGAGGAACACCGAUGGCGUAGGCAGGGUACUGGCUUGUUCCUGACACUAAGGCACGAAAGCGUGGGGAGCGAACGGGAUUAGAUACCCCCGUAGUCC